rnacentral:rRNA from 1 species
GACGAACGCUGGCGGCGUCUCUAAUACAUGCAAGUCGUGCGAUGAAGAUUGUUGUUUGCUCCAAUUUGAAAAGCAGCGAACGUGUGAGUAACGCGUGGGGCAUCUGCUUUAGAUCGUGGGACAACAUCCGGAAACGAAUACUAAGACCGCAUAACAACUUUAAACAUCAGUUCCAAGUUUGAAAGAUGCUAUUGCAUCAAACAAAGAUGAUCCCACGUUGUAUUAGCUAGUUGGUGAGGAAAAUGCUCACCAAUGCGAUGAUACAUAGCCAACCUGCGAGGGUAGUCGGCCACAGUGGGACUGAGACACGGCCCAAAGGCCUACGAGAGGCAGCAGUAGGGAAUAUUCGGCCAUAGCCGAAAGUAUGACCGGGCGACGCUGCGUGAGGGAAUAAGGUUUUAGGAUCGUAAGACUCUGUAGGUAGAGAAGAACGUUGGUGUGAGUGGAAAGCUCAUCAAGUGACGGUAACUACCCAGAAAGGGACGGCUAACUACGUG